AGCAUUGUAGCUUAGUGGGAGAGUGUUGGGCUCAUAAUCCAAAGGUCCUUCGAUCGAAACGAAGCAGUGCUA
rfam:Gregarina niphandrodes unplaced genomic scaffold scaffold00137, whole genome shotgun sequence.